rnacentral:lncRNA from 1 species
CUCAAUUUUAAGCCUGGGUGGGAUUCUAAAAAGUCAGUUGAGAUUUAGCCAAGCCUCCUCCUCGCUGUGACAGAAACUUCACAAAAUAUCCUAUGGGAGCAGAUCCCUAGAGAGUGUGGCUGAGUCUCCUCAGCAUCUGUAGCCUUGGGAAAACUGGAUGCAUCAUCGACUCAGGGAACGCAAUCAGUGAGCGUCUUCUUGAAACGUUGAGACCCUGUAUGCGGUGGUUGGAAUGAGAACGGCCUCCCUAGACACUUAUCAUCUGCCCUGUGCGAUAGGAGGCUGGACCUUGGAGAUGUUCCUGGGCUUUUGGAAAAGCAAAGUGAACGAAAAAUCCACUCUGAUGGGACGUGAUGAGAGGUGGAGAAGCAAAGACUUGGGGCUUUUGAAAGUGAAGUGGAUUUUUGAAUGCUAAAAAAAAAAUCUGUAAUUUCCAGUUUUAAAGAACUGCCUAUAAGGAUAAUUGAACAAAUAAAAAGCUCACUUUUUGAACCUGGUAAAGGGUGUUUCAUUGACUUAAUGAGUUUUCAAUU